UGCGUAGGCGGUUUGGCAAGUUGGUAGCGUAAUUCCGGGGCUCAACUUCGGAACUACUACCAAAACUGCCAGGCUUGAGUGCGGCAGGGGUAUGUGGAAUUCCUAGUGUAGCGGUGGAAUGCGUAGAUAUUGGGAGGAACACCAGAGGCGAAAGCGACAUACUGGGCCGUAACUGACGCUGAGGCACGAAAGCGUGGGGAGCAAACA
rnacentral:rRNA from 1 species